CUCCGCUUGUGCUCGGAGCAGUGGCGAACGGGUGAGUAAGACGUGGGCGACCUGCCCUCAGCUCUGGGAGAACUCCAUCAAAUUGGGGCUAAUACUGGAUAUGACCGCUGACCGCAUGGUCUGGUGGUGGAAAGAUUUAUCCGUUGAGGAUGGGCCCGCGGCCUAUCACCUUGUUGGUGGGGUAGUGGCCUACGAAGGCGACUACGGGUAGCCGGCCUGAGAGGGUGACCGGCCACACUGGGACUGAGACACGGCCCAAACUCCUACGGGAGGCCCCAGUGGGGAAUAUUGCGCAAUGGGCGAAAGCCUGACCCAACGACGCCGCGUGGGGGAUGACGGCCUUCUGGUUGUAAACCUCUUUCAGCAGGGACGAAGCGAAAGUGACGGUACCUGCAGAAGAAGCACCGGCCAACUACGUGCCACCAACCGCGGUAAUACCUAGGGUGCAAGCGUUGUCCGGAAUUAUUGGGCGUAAAUAGCUCGUAUGCGGUUUGUUGCGUCGGCUGUGAAAACCUGAGGCUCAACCUCUAGCCUGCAUUCGAUACCACCAGACUAAAGUGUUGCAGGUGAGACUGGAAUUCCUGGUGUAACGGUGAAAUGCGCAAAUAUCAUGAGGAACACCGGUGGCGAAUGCGGGUCUCUGGGCAACAACUGACGCUGAGGAGCGAAAGCGUGGGGAGCGAACAGGAUUAGAUACGCUGAUAGUCCACGACGUAUACGUUGGGCGCUAGCUGUGGGGCUCAUUCCACGAUUUCCGUGCCGCAGCUAUCGCAUUAACCACCCCGUCUGGGCAGUACGGCCACAGGCUAAAA
rnacentral:rRNA from 1 species